rnacentral:rRNA from 1 species
GACGAACGCUGGCGGCGUGCUUAACACAUGCAAGUCGAACGGAAAGGCCCCUUUGGGGGUACUCGAGUGGCGAACGGGUGAGUAACACGUGAGUAACCUGCCCUUGACUUCGGGAUAACUUCAGGAAACUGGGGCUAAUACCGGAUAGGAAUCCUUGCUGCAUGGUGGGGGUUGGAAAGCUUCGGGGGUUUUGGAUGGACUCGCGGCUUAUCAGCUUGUUGGUGGGGUAGUGGCUUACCAAGGCUUUGACGGGUAGCCGGCCUGAGAGGGCGACCGGCCACAUUGGGACUGAGAUACGGCCCAGACUCCUACGGGAGGCAGCAGUGGGGAAUAUUGCACAAUGGGCGGAAGCCUGAUGCAGCAACGCCGCGUGCGGGAUGACGGCCUUCGGGUUGUAAACCGCUUUCAGCAGGGGCGAAGCUUGUGGUGACGGUACCUGCAGAAGAAGCACCGGCUAACUACGUG